UGGGUGGUGAAAUUUGGAAGGGUAGUAGUUUGAGACCAGCUCCCCUUCAAAAAAAGUAGGAGGUCCUAUCUGAAAAAUCACUAAAGCACAAAGGACUAGAGUAGUAGCUCCAGUGGUAGAACAAAAAGAAAAUAUAAGAAAAACACCAGCAG